CAUGUAGGUGGAUCAAUAAGUCUGCUGUGAAAGUCGAAGGCUCAACCUUCGAAAGCCGGUGGAUACUGUUGAUCUAGAGUACGGAAGAGGCGAGUGGAAUUCCUGGUGUAGCGGUGGAAUGCGCAGAUAUCAGGAGGAACACCAAUAGCGAAGGCAGCUCGCUGGGACGUAACUGACACUGAGAUGCGAAAGCGUGGGGGGCAAACA
rnacentral:rRNA from 1 species